rnacentral:rRNA from 1 species
AGAUUGAACGCUGGCGGCAGGCCUAACACAUGCAAGUCGAGCGGAAACGAGUUAUCUGAACCUUCGGGGAACGAUAACGGCGUCGAGCGGCGGACGGGUGAGUAAUGCCUAGGAAAUUGCCCUGAUGUGGGGGAUAACCAUUGGAAACGAUGGCUAAUACCGCAUAAUGCCUACGGGCCAAAGAGGGGGACCUUCGGGCCUCUCGCGUCAGGAUAUGCCUAGGAUGGGAUUAGCUAGUUGGUGAGGUAAGGGCUCACCAAGGCGACGAUCCCUAGCUGGUCUGAGAGGAUGAUCAGCCACACUGGAACUGAGACACGGUCCAGACUCCUACGGGAGGCAGCAGUGGGGAAUAUUGCACAAUGGGCGCAAGCCUGAUGCAGCCAUGCCGCGUGUGUGAAGAAGGCCUUCGGGUUGUAAAGCACUUUCAGUCGUGAGGAAGGUAGUGUAGUUAAUAGCUGCAUUAUUUGACGUUAGCGACAGAAGAAGCACCGGCUAAC